AGCCAUGCAUGUCUCAGUGCAUGCCGAAAUAAGGUGAAACCGCGAAUGGCUCAUUAAAUCAGUUAUGGUUCCUUGGAUCCUACAAAAAUUUACUUGGAUAACUGUGGUAAUUCUAGAGCUAAUACAUGCAAACCAGAGUUCCUCUCAGAGAUGGGAGGAACGCUUUUAUUAGAUCAAAACCAAUCGGUGGCGGGUGGCUUGCUACUCGUCCAUCGUUUGCUUUGGUGACUCUGAAUAACUUUGUGCUGAUCGCACGGUCUUAGUACCGGCGACGCAUCCUUCAAAUGUCUGCCUUAUCAACUGUCGAUGGUAGGUUUUGCGCCUACCAUGGUUGUAACGGGUAACGGGGAAUCAGGGUUCGAUUCCGGAGAGGGAGCCUGAGAAACGGCUACCACAUCCAAGGAAGGCAGCAGGCGCGCAAAUUACCCACUCCCGGCACGGGGAGGUAGUGACGAAAAAUAACGAUACGGGACUCAUCCGAGGCCCCGUAAUCGGAAUGAGUACACUUUAAAUCCUUUAACAAGGAUCCAUUGGAGGGCAAGUCUGGUGCCAGCAGCUGCGGUAAUUCCAGCUCCAAUAGCGUAUAUUAAAGUUGUUGCGGUUAAAAAGCUCGUAGUUGAACCUGUGUGCCACACUGUCGGUACACCGCUCGUCGGUGUUUACUGACACGAUGUGGGACGUCCUACCGGUGGGCUUAGCUUUGCCUUGUGCUUGGCGGUCCAACUAUACAUCCCAUCGCG
rnacentral:rRNA from 1 species